CUCUCUCUCUCUCUCUGGGGUAGUAAGUUCCAGAAUAUGAGUUUGUUGACGCUUCCCCCAAGCCGCCCGCACGUCUUUAAGGCUCCCACGCAACCGCCGCAUCUUACUCAUCAAACCCUCUCCCGUCACUCAAUGGACCCACCACUUUCCAUCUCUAUUUAAACCCACCGUUUCCGAAAGCAAACCCCAUCUCUCUCUCUACACAAUAACAACAAAAUUGUCAAAUGGCUCCAACGCCAUCGCUCGCCGGACUCCAGGUCGAGACGACUGCGUUUCCACCGUCCGUCAAACCUCCGGGCUCCCCCAACACUCUGUUCCUCGGCGGCGCAGGGGUGAGGGGGCUGGAGAUUCAGGGGAACUUCGUGAAGUUCACGGCGAUCGGAGUGUACUUGGAGGAAAACGCCGUGCCUCUGCUCGCCGUUAAGUGGAAGGGUAAGACGGCCGAGGAGUUGACGGAGUCCGUUGAGUUCUUCAGGGACAUUGUUACAGGGUCCUUUGAGAAAUUCAUUCAAGUGACAACAUACUGCCCACUGACAGGGCCAGCAAUACUCUGACAAAGUUUCGGAGAAUUGCGUUGCCUUUUGGAAGUCAAUCGGAAUUUACACUGAUGCAGAAGGCAAAGCCAUUGAAAAGUUCCUUGAGGUCUUCAAAGAUCAAAACUUCCCACCCGGCGCCUCCAUUCUUUUCACGCAAUCUCCCAAAGGAUCACUAACGAUUAGCUUCUCUAGAGAUGCAUCCGUACCUGAAGCUGCAAACACGGUGAUAGAAAACAAACUACUUUCCGAGGCAGUUCUAGAGUCGAUCGUUGGAAAGCACGGUGUUUCCCCUGCAGCAAAGCAAAGUUUGGCCGAAAGGUUAUCCAAAUUGUUGAACGGGUGUAAUGAAUCUAAAGAUGCCAAAGCCGGAAAUGAGAAAGAUUGUCAAAUAGCUCCACCACCGUCGCUCGCCGGACUUCAGGUCGAAACGACUGCGUUUCCACCGUCCGUCAAACCUCCGGGCUCCUCCAACACUCUGUUCCUCGGCGGCGCAGGGGUGAGGGGGCUGGAGAUUCAGGGGAACUUCGUGAAGUUCACGGCAAUCGGAGUGUACUUGGAGGAUAACGCCGUGCCUCAGCUCGCCGUUAAGUGGAAGGGUAAGACAGCCGAGGAGUUGAUGGAGUCCGUUGAGUUCUUCAGGGACAUCGUUACAGGUCCGUUUGAGAAAUUCAUUCAAGUGACAACGAUAUUGCCACUGACAGGCCAGCAAUACUCUGACAAAGUUUCGGAGAAUUGCGUUGUCUUUUGGAAGUCAGUCGGAAUUUACACUGAUGCAGAAGGCAAAGCCAUUGAAAAGUUCCUUGAGGUCUUCAAAGAUCAAAAUUUCCCACCCGGUGCUUCCAUUCUUUUCACACAAUCUCCCAAAGGAUCACUAACGAUUAGCUUCUCUAGAGAUGCAUCCGUACCUGAAGCUGCAAACACGGUGAUAGAAAACAAACUACUUUCCGAUGCAGUUCUAGAGUCGAUCGUUGGAAAGCACGGUGUUUCCCCUGCAGCAAAGCAAAGUUUGGCCGGAAGGUUAUCCGAAUUGUUGAACGGGUGUAAUGAAUCUAAUGAUGCCAAAGCUGGAAAUGAGAAAGAUUGUCAAAUAGCUCCACCACCGUCGCUCGCCGGACUUCAGGUCGAAACGACUGCGUUUCCACCGUCCGUCAAACCUCCGGGCUCCCCCAACACUCUGUUCCUCGGCGGCGCAGGGGUGAGGGGGCUGGAGAUUCAGGGGAACUUCGUGAAGUUCACGGCAAUCGGAGUGUACUUGGAGGAUAACGCAGUGCCUCAGCUCGCCGUUAAGUGGAAGGGUAAGACAGCCAAGGAGUUGACGGAGUCCGUUGAGUUCUUCAGGGACAUCGUUACAGGUCCAUUUGAGAAAUUCAUUCAAGUGACAACGAUACUGCCACUGACAGGCCAGCAAUACUCUGAGAAAGUUUCGGAGAAUUGCAUUGCCUUUUGGAAGUUAGUCGGAAUUUACACGGAUGCGGAAGGCAAAGCCAUUGAAAUGUUCCUUGAGGUUUUCAAAGAUCAAAAUUUCCCACCCGGCGCCUCCAUUCUUUUCACACAAUCUCCCAAAGGAUCACUAACGAUUAGCUUCUCUAGAGAUGCAUCCGUACCUGAAGCUGCAAACGUGGUGAUAGAAAACAAACUACUUUCCGAGGCAGUUCUAGAGUCGAUCGUUGGAAAGCACGGUGUUUCUCCUGCAGCAAAGCAAAGUUUGGCCACGAGGUUAUCCGAAUUGUUGAAUGGGUGCAAGGAAUCUAAUGGUGUUGAAGCCGGAAAUGAAAGGGCGGAGGCAUGAAAACUGAGAGAGGAGAAAUAAAACUUGAGAGGGAUUCCUGUUCUAUGUUUAGUGAAUUAUUUACAUACAAUCUAUGAAGCUAUAGGAAAGUGCUAUGUCUUAUUUAAUUUAAAGAAAAAUGAUCAUGUUUUAUGAGAAAUAUUAGUGUUGUUUUGUUAUAUGUUUAAUUCAAAUCAACAAAUAUAGAUGUCGAUUGGUAAA